GCCUGGGUAGCUCAGUCAGUUAAGCGUCUGACUUCAGCUCAGGUCAUGAUCUCAUGGUUCGUGGGUUUGAGCCCCAUGUCAAGCU
rnacentral:tRNA from 1 species